rnacentral:rRNA from 1 species
AGUGAACGCUGGCGGCAGGCCUAACACAUGCAAGUCGAACGGCAGCACCGUACUUGCUUGCGCUUAUGGGUGGCGAGUGGCGGACGGGUCACGAAUAUAUCGGACUCUACUCUUUCGUGGGGCAUAACGUAGGGAAACCUACUCUAAUAUCGCAUACGACCUACGGUUGAGAGCAUGGGAUCUUCUGACCUUGCGCGAUUGAAUUAGCCGCUGUCGGAUUAGUUAGUUGGCGGGGUAAAGGCCCACCAAGGCGACGAUCCGUAGCUGGUCUGAGAGGAUGAUAGGCCACAUUGGAAGUGAGACACGGACAAGACUCCUAAGGGAGGGAGCAGUGGGGAAUAGGGGACAAUGGGCGGAAGCAUGAUCCAGCGAGACCGCGUGGGUGAAGAAGGCCUUCGGGUUGUAAAGACCGUUUGUGGGGAAAGAAAAGCAGUAGGUUAAGACCAAGCUGGAGUGACGGUAACGAAAGAAGAAGCACCGGCUAACUUCGUG